AUUGAACGCUGGCGGCAGGCCUAACACAUGCAAGUCGAGCGGAUGAAGGGAGCUUGCUCCUGGAUUCAGCGGCGGACGGGUGAGUAAUGCCUAGGAAUCUGCCUGGUAGUGGGGGAUAACGUCCGGAAACGGGCGCUAAUACCGUAUACGUCCUGAGGGAGAAAGUGGGGGAUCUUCGGACCUCACGCUAUCAGAUGAGCCUAGGUCGGAUUAGCUAGUUGGUGGGGUAAAGGCCUACCAAGGCGACGAUCCGUAACUGGUCUGAGAGGAUGAUCAGUCACACUGGAACUGAGACACGGUCCAGACUCCUACGGGAGGCAGCAGUGGGGAAUAUUGGACAAUGGGCGAAAGCCUGAUCCAGCCAUGCCGCGUGUGUGAAGAAGGUCUUCGGAUUGUAAAGCACUUUAAGUUGGGAAGAAGGGCAGUAAGUGAAUACCUUGCUGUUUUGACGUUACCAACAGAAUAAGCACCGGCUAACUUCGUG
rnacentral:rRNA from 1 species